CCCACCCACUCUCAAGUAUUCAUUUCUUGGAUGCUUGGAAAGCUUUGGAAAAGUGUCUUGUUUUAAUAGAGACACUCUCUAGAAAUUCAUAGGCAGUAUGGUUUGCACCUGAACCAGACGUAAUAAUAAUAAAAUCGUUUGUUUAGGUAUAAUUGUGCUUGCCUCCACCCACUCAUUUAUUAUAUU
rnacentral:misc_RNA from 1 species